AUACCAAUCACUGGAGAUCUCUUCAAAAUGUGGUUUCUGAUUCACUAGAUUUAGGAUGACACCUGCAAUUCUGCAUUUCUAACAAGCUCUCAGAUGAUGCUGAU
rnacentral:pre_miRNA from 1 species